UACGUAGGGUGCGAGCGUUGUCCGGAAUUACUGGGCGUAAAGAUCUCGUAGGUGGUUUGUCGCGUUGUUCGUGAAAACUCACAACUCAAUUGUGGGCGUGCGGGCGAUACGGGCAGACUGGAGUACUGCAGGGGAGACUGGAAUUCCUGGUGUAGCGGUGGAAUGCGCAGAUAUCAGGAGGAACACCGGUGGCGAAGGCGGGUCUCUGGGCAGUAACUGACGCUGAGGAGCGAAAGCGUGGGGAGCGAACAGG
rnacentral:rRNA from 1 species